UACGUAGGGGGCAAGCGUUGUCCGGAUUUAUUGGGCGUAAAGAGCGUGUAGGCGGCCAGGGAGGUCCGUUGUGAAAACUCGAGGCUCAACCUCGAGACGCCGAUGGAAACCCCCUGGCUAGAGUCCGGAAGAGGAGAAUGGAAUUCCUGGUGUAGCGGUGAAAUGCGCAGAUAUCAGGAAGAACACCCGUGGCUAAGGCGGUUCUCUAGUACGGUACUGACGCUGAGACGCGAAAGCGUGGGGAGCGAACAGG
rnacentral:rRNA from 1 species